GAAGACGACGACGGUUGAGGAGGCUGACGCAGGUGGAGGACACAGCCACUGCUACUCUGUUGGAGAAUUGAAAGUGAGAAGCGAUUUUGAUGGAAGUUCAAAUUUUGAGUAGAUUUCAGAUCAAUGGCAUUAUUUCGAAUGGAAGAGGAAAU